AGCCAAUCAGAGCACAGCAUGACGUCUUUAGCUAACGGUGACUUGCACUUUUCUGAAGACUGCGCUUUCUUAUCGUGUUUAAUCAAAAGUAGUAAUAAAUAACCAUCUUAUUUCACCAACAAUUCCUUAGGUUGAGUUUCAAGCCCCAUAUAAAACAGUUUUUUGAUGUCUCUGUCACCGGAAAGCUACGUUAGCAAUUGGCUAGCAGGUUAAUUUUCUUGCUGUUUAGCUAAACUCCUUCUGGAAACGUUUUUAAGAUGCUUUUCUACAAAGGGCCCCUAACCUGGAUCAGGCGUGUUUGGCCAAUAAAGAGCUUCAAUGGCUGGAAAACAUGUUGGACACCGGCCCUCAAGGACUGAUUUUGGACACUCCUGUCGAUGACGAGAACUGGACCAAGGAUGCAUGUGUUGGAACCAGACUUGAAACACAAUCAGGAGCGAGCUUGUUGGAAGUUCACACACCGACCACUUGAAUGCAGGUUUAAGAAAAUCCUUCCAUCAACGUUCUGAACUUUGGACGUGGGCGACAGCAGGUACCGCAUACUUUUGAUUAAUCUGAAUAACUCAAUAACUUGCACUACAGAAAAAUACAAUGAAAAAGAAUUAGGAUUUGCAAGAACAUAAAAAAAAAAAGGUUUCAGAGCAAGAAUGGUUAUUCUGACAAACAGAAUGACUAAGUAAUGUCUAUUUAUUUCUCUGUGGGAGUCUAUGGGAUUUUGGCUUGUUGUAGUCUGGAGGUACUUCUUCUUUGGAACAAGGGGAGGGUGCCAGUCAAAUCUUCAUAUACU
rnacentral:lncRNA from 1 species